rnacentral:rRNA from 1 species
CAGUCGCCACGGUAAUACGUAGGUCCCGAGCGUUGUCCGGAUUUAUUGGGCGUAAAGGGAGCGCAGGCGGUUUAGUAAGUCUGGAGUUAAAGGCAUUGGCUCAACCAAUGUAUGCUUUGGAAACUGCUUGACUUGAGUGCAGAAGGGGAGAGUGGAAUUCCAUGUGUAGCGGAGAAAUGCGUAGAUAUAUGGAGGAACACCGGUGGCGAAAGCGGCUCUCUGGUCUGUCACUGACGCUGAGGCUCGAAAGCGUGGGUAGCGAACAGGAUUAGAUACCCGCGUAGUCCCUGUCUCUUAUACC